AGCACUGGCCCCCAUAUUUACUUUUAAAUAUAAUCAACCUUUGUAUCUCCGAGACCUAAAAUAAACUGUAGGUUGUUAAUAAAAUUGGAUAAAAUGUAAUUGAUUUUCUUUUCCUCUGUUUGUAAAGGACAAGCCAUAAUUCAACCUACACCGGAGAAUGCUUACAAAGUUAGAAAAUGGGAUUGAUGAAGAAAGAACCCAAGAAAAGACACAAAUAAGGAAAAGUGAGUGAGUAUUUUCUCCUCGUGUUUUCUCAUGGGCUUCACAUGAUCAGUCUACAGCGGCAAUCAACGUGGAGUGUUCCAUUCAUUGCUAAGAUGUCAGUUGGCAGCAGGUGGACGGACAGAAGUUGUUGGGAACUUCGUCUUCACGGGUCGCCCAUAUGAUACCAGCUUUGCUGAUUCUGGCAAACUCCACACCAGGCUUGCAAAGUCUCCACCUGCUUACGGAAGCACAAAUGGACCUGCUGAGCUCUCAGACCACGGAAACCUGCUCCUUCUCACCCUGUGCCAGCAGAUUUAGCACCGCCUCCGACAGUCGGUCCACAGCCUGGAGCACAAGGAAGAUUUUGGAACUUUCGGAGGUCCCCUCGCGUAUGGGCCCAGCGUUGUCUUGUGCUGCAGAGAUCUUGUGCUGAGAUUGUUUCAACUCAGUACGGAAGGACUCUGCCCGUGACGGUUCUGAUAAACAAUUGCUGAUCUGUGACUCAUCAAAACUACAUCUCAGUGGACAAAUCAGGCUUGCUGAAGAAUUCCAGGGGCUGACCGCAGGGAAGUGGCUGGAGUUACAAGACCUGACCAGGAGCUGCGACCACCAGCUGCCAACAGUCGAGCCUUAGAUCAGAGGGACCACCCGUUGACCCGGGAAACGUGCUAGGCAAGCAUCCUAGUUCAUUCUCUUCCCUCACUUCCCCCCUCCUCACUUAUGCUUUAAAAAUGCUAAGUAGCAAGGGAGAGCGGGAAACACUUUUGAGACUAAAGAUGGCUAUUUCCCCCUCAAGGUUGCUGCCUUUUUUUUUUUUUUUUUUUGACAGGCAGAGUUAAACAGUGAGAGAGAGAGACAGAGAAAAAGGUCUUCCCUCUGAUGGUUCACUUCCCUAAUGGCCGCCACGGAAGCCAGGAGCCAGGUGCUUCUCCUGGUCUCCCAUGCGGGUGCAGGGCCCAAGCACUUGGGCCAUCCUCCACUGCACUCCCGGGCCACAGCAGAGAGCUGGACAGGAAGAGGGGCAACCGGGACUAGAACCCGGCGCCCAUAUGGAUGCCAGCGCCGCAUGUAGAGGAUUAACGAAGUGAGCCACGGCGGCGCCAGCCUGGUUGCUGCCUUCUUGAACAAGCCUGUUUCUCUGCAUCAGCUCUCAUCUCUGGUGAAUUGGCCAUUCCGUGUUAAGCACUCUGGUGCAUAGCAUUUCCUGUAGCGAAAAGGUGCUGUUAAAUCGCAAAAUGUUUUUAUAGUAUUAUUAUAUAAUCAGUAUUUCCUCCAGCACUUGCUGUCAGAAGCAUGGCUUUGCUAAGGUGCAGGUUAAUCAUUUUUGAAGGUCAUUGUUUGAGAGUGUUAGUGAUGUAUGUUUAACUCAAACAUGACCUCCCCCUAGCUCUGUAAAAUGUUGAGGUGUUGAUAUGACAAAGCUGUUGCAACUGGGACGAAUACAUGGAUCCUACCCUGUGCAAGGCAGGAUGAUCUUGGCUGCAUCUUUUCCCAGCUCUCUCUGUCUUAUGGCAUUUGCAAACUGAACUGGGCAAAUGGAAGCACACAGGAAAUUAACAAGUUAAGAAAAUGCAAAGAGAAAACAUUUAGUACAUGAUCAAUUGUCAAAUGAACUCAGAGGAAGAGAGAAGAGGAGAAGAAAGGGAAAGAAAGAAGGGGAGAGGAGGGAGGGAGAGAAAGAGAAGGGGAGAGAAACAGAGGGAGAGAGAGAGAGAGAGAGAGAUGGGUAGUGUGAUGAGAGCAAGAGUGUCCCCAAGGAGUCUGGACACUGGGGCGAGUUUUAUAGAUGCCUAUCCUGCCUCUGCUAAUUACCACCUGAGUGACCCUGCACGGAUAACCUGACCCUGGCAAGCCCCUAUUUUAACAU